rnacentral:rRNA from 1 species
AUGUGCAUUCCAAAGGGGAUAGGAGGUAUGGGAUUUAGGGACCUUCAUAGAUUUAAUCUUGCUAUGUUAGCAAAGAAAUGUUGGUGAGUAAUCCAGAAUUUAGAAUCUUUUUGUGCCCGUGUUGUCAGCGCAAAAUACUUCCCAGAUGGUGAUAUUCUAAAUGCAGGGUCAAAGGGUGGUUCUUAUUAUAGAUGGCAAAUCAUUUGUGCAGGGAUCCAAACCUUUAAAAGGGGGUGUAUUUGGAGAGUGGGAGCAGGUCGGGAUUAA